UACGUAGGGUGCAAGCGUUAUCCGGAAUUAUUGGGCGUAAAGAGCUCGUAGGUGGUUUGUCGCGUUGUUCGUGAAAACUCGCAGCUCAACUGUGGGCGUGCGGGCGAUACGGGCAGACUAGAGUACUGCAGGGGAGACUGGAAUUCCUGGUGUAGCGGUGGAAUGCGCAGAUAUCAGGAGGAACACCGGUGGCGAAGGCGGGUCUCUGGGCAGUAACUGACGCUGAGGAGCGAAAGCGUGGGGAGCGAACAGG
rnacentral:rRNA from 1 species